GGGGCGGGGGGGUGAGCUCAGGUCCGGUCCUCGGUGGGGGAGACCAGACCAGCCCAUCCCGCCCCACAGCGUGCCCUCCCAUUGGCCCACCAGGCCUGGGCACCCCCUGCGCACUCCCGAUCUCGUUCCCUACUCAUUUCAGGAGGGCGGUGUGUGGGGCAGGGCAUGGGGCAGCGUGUGGGACAGAGCGUGGAGCGCCGCAUGGGGCAACAUGCGGCGCAGUGCAAGUGGCGGUGUGUUGUGUGGGUCACUGUGGGAUGCUGUGUGGGGCAGCGCGUGGGAGGGGCUUGGGGCCGUCCCGGGUGAGGGUGUGCAGGCCGCUCCGCCACGUGGCAGCGCCCAGCAGCCGCCUCCACAGGCCGUGUCUGUCCAUGCAGCGUGCCAGCUGGUCCAGCUCCGCGCACAGCAGCAAACUGCGCAUCACCUCCAGCGCCGUUCUGCGCGGAAAUGGGCAGCGUGCGGUCAGGGGGCAGCGAAGAGCCAGGGCUCAACACGGGGUCAGGGUGGAGCGAGCUCCCCGGACGACACCAGCUGGAAGAUGAGCGCCACGAAGAGCUCCGGGAAGAACCUGCGCACCUGCGUGCUGUACCUCCGGCACCGCAGGAUCUCGUGCAGCGCCAUGGCCGCCUGCGGAAAGCAGCCAGGCAGCGCUCAGCACCGAGCCGCUCCCCCUGUGGUCAGGGCAGGGGGUUCACCAGGGGCCCCUGAACUCACGGUGGGGGGAAGCCCGCCGGUCUCAGUCUCGUGGUCCGGCGGCGCCGUCUCCAGCAGCUGCAGCAGCUCAUGCAGCAUCUGUGGCACCACGCUCUCCGGGGACAACGCCAUCUCCCACAGUUCCCACGUGUCCCUGCGGCACGGAGCUGUCCUCAGCGGGAGCUCCUCUAUGAGUGGGGUGGGGGUCCCUCUUUGCAUCGGCUGGGAGUCCCUCUCCACAUGGGGUGGGGGCAGGCUCAGUCCUCGGGCAAGCAGCUGCCAGUUGCUCCCAUCGUCGGGCGUCCGGUUGAGGUGGACCAUCAGCACGGUCAGCGUGCUGGUAGCCAUCUGGGUGUUGUAGUCGCUGCAGUCCGUCAUGCCCCGCAGCGCCACGAGGAUGUCGGUCUUCUCCGAAGAGUGGAGGUGUUCCACAAAGCUCUGGGGUGUGGGGGGGAAGGCAACAUGAGCCGUGUUCC
rnacentral:lncRNA from 1 species